rnacentral:rRNA from 1 species
AUUGAACGCUGGCGGAAUGCUUUACACAUGCAAGUCGAGCGGCAGCGCGGGGCAACCUGGCGGCGAGCGGCGAACGGGUGAGUAAUGCAUCGGAACAUGUCCAUGUCGUGGGGGAUAGCCCGGCGAAAGCCGGAUUAAUACCGCAUACGCCCGAGAGGGGAAAGUGGGGGACCGCAAGGCCUCACGCGAUUGGGUUGGCCGAUGUCCGAUUAGCUUGUUGGUGAGGUAAAGGCUUACCAAGGCGAUGAUCGGUAGCUGGUCUGAGAGGAUGAUCAGCCCCCCUGGGACUGGGACACGGCCCAGACUCCUACGGGAGGCAGCAGUGGGGAAUUUUGGACAAUGGGGGCAACCCUGAUCCAGCCAUUCCGCGUGAGUGAAGAAGGCCUUCGGGUUGUAAAGCUCUUUUGUCCGGAGCGAAACGGUGGCGGUGAAUAUCCGCCACUACUGACGGUACCGGAAGAAUAAGCACCGGCUAACUACGUGCCAGCCGCCGCCGUAAUAC